rnacentral:rRNA from 1 species
AUGGCGCCCCUACCUGCAGCACGGAGAAUUUAUAAUUUAUACAGAUCAGAAAAGUCUCAUUCACCUCGAAGAGCAACGCCUCUCGACCCCGUGGCAAAAGAAAGCAUUCACCAAAUUAUUGGGGCUGCAAUAUACCAUCAGAUACAAGAAGGGAAAGGAGAUUACAGCAGCGGAUGCUCUAUCUCGCUCCAAACCUGA